rnacentral:rRNA from 1 species
AACGAACGCUGGCGGCAGGGCUAACACAUGCAAGUCGAACGAACCGUUUACGGUGAGUGGCGCACGGGUGCGUAACGCGUGGGCACGUACCCUUAGGUAGGGAACAAGGUCGGGGAACUGGCGCUAAUACCCUAUAAUGACUUUGGUCCAAAGAUGUAUCGCGUAGGGAUCGGCCCGCGUCUGAUGAGUUAGUUGAUGAGGUAACGGCUCACCAAGACGAUGAUCAGUAGCCGGUCGGGGAGGAUGAACAGCCACACUGGGACUGAGACACGGCCCAGACUCCUACGGGAGGCAGCAGUGGAGAAUAUUGGACAAUGGGGGGAACCCUGAUCCAGCCAUGCCGCGUGAGUGAAGAAGGCCUUAGGGUUGUAAAGCUCUUUCAAUAGGGAAGAUAAUGACGGUAGCUAUAGAAGAAGCUCCGGCUAAAUUCGUGCCAGCAGCCGCCGCCG